UGGAAGCGUCUGGAAAGGCGCGCGAUACAGGGUGACAGCCCCGUACACAAAAAUGCACAUGCUGUGAGCUCGAUGAGUAGGGCGGGACACGUGGUAUCCUGUCUGAAUAUGGGGGGACCAUCCUCCAAGGCUAAAUACUCCUGACUGACCGAUAGUGAACCAGUACCGUGAGGGAAAGGCGAAAAGAACCCCGGCGAGGGGAGUGAAAAAGAACCUGAAACCGUGUACGUACAAGCAGUGGGAGCACGCUUAGGCGUGUGACUGCGUACCUUUUGUAUAAUGGGUCAGCGACUUAUAUUCUGUAGCAAGGUUAACCGAAUAGGGGAGCCGAAGGGAAACCGAGUCUUAACUGGGCGUUAAGUUGCAGGGUAUAGACCCGAAACCCGGUGAUCUAGCCAUGGGCAGGUUGAAGGUUGGGUAACACUAACUGGAGGACCGAACCGACUAAUGUUGAAAAAUUAGCGGAUGACUUGUGGCUGGGGGUGAAAGGCCAAUCAAACCGGGAGAUAGCUGGUUCUCCCCGAAAGCUAUUUAGGUAGCGCCUCGUGAAUUCAUCUCCGGGGGUAGAGCACUGUUUCGGCAAGGGGGUCAUCCCGACUUACCAACCCGAUGCAAACUGCGAAUACCGGAGAAUGUUAUCACGGGAGACACACGGCGGGUGCUAACGUCCGUCGUGAAGAGGGAAACAACCCAGACCGCCAGCUAAGGUCCCAAAGUCAUGGUUAAGUGGGAAACGAUGUGGGAAGGCCCAGACAGCCAGGAUGUUGGCUUAGAAGCAGCCAUCAUUUAAAGAAAGCGUAAUAGCUCACUGGUCGAGUCGGCCUGCGCGGAAGAUGUAACGGGGCUAAACCAUGCACCGAAGCUGCGGCAGCGACACUAUGUGUUGUUGGGUAGGGGAGCGUUCUGUAAGCCUG
rnacentral:rRNA from 1 species